rnacentral:rRNA from 1 species
UACGUAGGGCGCAAGCGUUAUCCGGAAUUAUUGGGCGUAAAGGGCUCGUAGGCGGCCAACUAAGUCCGACGUGAAAUCCCCAGGCUUAACCUGGGAACUGCGUCGGAUACUGGAUGGCUUGAAUUCGGGAGAGGGAUGCAGAAUUCCAGGUGUAGCGGUGAAAUGCGUAGAUAUCUGGAGGAAUACCGGUGGCGAAGGCGGCAUCCUGGACCGACAUUGACGCUGAUGAGCGAAAGCUAGGGGAGCAAACGGG